AGCCGCGGUAAUACGGAGGAUGCAAGCGUUAUCCGGAUUUAUUGGGCGUAAAGCGUCCGCAGGUGGUUAAUCAAGUCUGCUGUCAAAGCGCAGGGCUCAACUCUGUAAAGGCGGUGGAAACUGGUGAACUAGAGUUCGGUAGGGGUAGCGGGAAUUCCCGGUGUAGCGGUGAAAUGCGUAGAUAUCGGGAAGAACACCAGCGGCGAAAGCGCGCUACUGGGCCGAGACUGACACUCAUGGACGAAAGCUAGGGGAGCGAAAGGGAUUAGAUACCCCUGUAGUCCUAGCUGUAAACGAUGGAAACUAGGUGUUGACCGUAUCGACCCGGUCAGUGCCGUAGCUAACGCGUUAAGUUUCCCGCCUGGGGAGUACGCACGCAAGUGUGAAACUCAAAGGAAUUGACGGGGGCCCGCACAAGCGGUGGAGUAUGUGGUUUAAUUCGAUGCAACGCGAAG
rnacentral:rRNA from 1 species